rnacentral:rRNA from 1 species
AUUGAACGCUGGCGGCAUGCCUUACACAUGCAAGUCGAACGGCAGCACGGGAGCAAUCCUGGUGGCGAGUGGCGAACGGGUGAGUAAUAUAUCGGAACGUGCCCAGUCGUGGGGAUAACGUAGCGAAAGCUACGCUAAUACCGCAUACGAUCUAUGGAUGAAAGCGGGGGAUCGCAAGACCUCGCGCGAUUGGAGCGGCCGAUAUCAGAUUAGGUAGUUGGUGAGGUAAAGGCUCACCAAGCCGACGAUCUGUAGCUGGUCUGAGAGGACGACCAGCCACACUGGGACUGAGACACGGCCCAGACUCCUACGGGAGGCAGCAGUGGGGAAUUUUGGACAAUGGACGCAAGUCUGAUCCAGCCAUUCCGCGUGCAGGAUGAAGGCCCUCGGGUUGUAAACUGCUUUGUACGGAACGAAAGGUUUGUCUUAAUACGAUGAGCUCAUGACGGUACCGUAAGAAUAAG